CCCUUAGAUGUUCUGGGCCGCACACGCGCUACACUGAAGGAGGCAGCGUGUACUCCUGGAUCGAAAGAUUUGGGUAACCCGCGAAUCUCCUUCGUGCUAGGGAUUGAGGUUUGCAAUUAUCCUUCAUGAACGAGGAAUUCCCAGUAAGUGCAAGUCAUAAGCUUGCGCUGACUACGUCCCUGCCCUUUGUACACACCGCCCGUUGCUACUACCGAUUGAAUGAUUUAGUGAGGACUUCGGACUGGGACCGAUGCGGCUUUCGGGCUGCGUCGGUAUUCUGGAAAGAUGUCCAAACUGUAUCAUUUAGAGGAAGUAAAANUCGUAACA
rnacentral:rRNA from 1 species